CUUCCUCUGCCUACCAGCCAACAACUGAAGGAGACGUCUGUGUGAGUUCAUGGUUUGUGGUGAGGGGAAAACCUCCUGGCCUCUUCGCUGCAGUGCUGGGUGUCUGUCUGCCUCCUGGGGAGGUUCGAAAUUAGAAGAGAAAUACACUGGAGAGGUCUUUAUUGUAAGAACAGGCAUCAGGAGCAUACUCGUCAUCCCUCUGCAGCUCUAGGCUGUCGGUAGGAUCUCCACGUGGCUGCAGUUUGAUGUCCAUCCCCGGACCCAGAGCUGCCUCCCUGCUGCUCGUGGACACCGUCAGUGGGGUUUGAGUUGGGCUGACACCCAUGCCUUCACCCCACCUUGGUGAGGAGCAGACAGGACCCCAGUAUUUUGAGGAUGCUCUGCUCCUGGUGGACUGGGAUGCAAUUCCUCAGUGAGAGCAGCUGGCUUGUUCCUCUUGAUGUCAGGAAGCUGGGCCAGGCAUUAGUGGGUCAGCGAGUGCCCUGCCACCAGCUGGUGCCUGGCAGUAAGAGCUCACUGGAUGCCACGGGGAAGGUGCAAGGAUCUCACUCACCUCCAUGCAGCAAGGCAAGCUGAGUUGCAUGUCACAGCCAAACAAGCGCUUCCAAACUCCUACAGAUGCUGAAGGAAAGAGCCUGGCUUGGAAAAAUUGUGAUGAAGCAGAGCUCAGAGCCCAGGCACCUGUAUAGUUUCUGGCUUCAGCAUCAUCCUGGUCCUGAGGAUGGCUCAGUGCCUCACGCUGCUUGCUGUCACCCCGCUGUCCUUCUGAUAGCACCUGUGGCUGGUUAUCACGCUGGAACUCCCCAGCCUUGGGUAUCCUCCUUUCCUCUUCUGAUGCAGGCUGAGAUGUGGGACAGGUUGUGGUGGAAGAGAUGAGGGCAGCAGGAGGUGUUCAGCUCGCUGAGCCCAGGGAAUAGAUUGGUGUUUGGGAGUGACGAUUUUCUUUGGCAAACACAAAAGGCACGUAUCAUCUGCUGCGCAAAAAGGCGAAUGCAAACCGGGCCAGCUAUUUCAGCGAGGAGUUGUACACACAGCCACCGCAGCUGCACUAGGUCAGCACCCACUGACAGAGGUGAAAAGCCCUUGGUUCUGCAGAGCAGUGAUGAGGCGGGCUGGUACGAAGAGCAUCCCUCAUCACCAGAGACAGGCAGUGAGGAUCCAGGCAUCUUUCUGUGGUUGCAACAGAGAAGUGGACCCAGAAACCAUACUAUCACUGAGCAAAAUGUCACUCUUGUCUGGCAAGAGCUGCAAAGGGUCAGGGUCUCUCUCCACUAACUGCAUGCUGAGGUUAGGUGACUUUCCAGGCAAUGAUUCUCAAUUCUGCAGAAGGUAUCCAUGCCAUAGCCUUGCAUGAGAAAGGCAAGUUUCCUUGCAAUCAAAGUGAAAUGGAUGAUUAAUACAAUUGCUAGAACUAAAUGAGUUAAUUUUCUAAGUAAUGUCAUCAUUUUAAAUAAUUAAGAACAACUCAGUGUCAUUGUUCUUGCUCAAAUGAAUAAUGGAACACCUGGUAAAACAUGGAACUUUAUGACCAUGAAAGAUUCCUUCAAAUCUGCCACGGCUCCAGAGUAAGGACACUCUCAAGGCAUGUUGGAUCUCAUUUCAGACCUCUGCUCAGGAUGCUGUGAUUUCCACGUUGCAUGUCCAAAUAAGUGCCCGAGGCUUUGGGCAACUGGGCAUGCAGGGGCAAUGCUCACCAAUCACUCUUCAGCUCUGUAUGCAGUUCUACAUCUGCAAAUGAAUCAAUUCUUGCUUAUUUUAGAGGCUAAAUUUAAUUUGUCAGUGAAAGAAUUUGUUUGGGGCCUUGGUUCAAAUUAAACAUUUUCUUCAAACAGAGGAAAUAAAAAAAAAACACAUUGUCUUCAUCAAAUAGUCUGGAAGUAUUCAGCUUGAAUCAGACAGUGACUUGGUGAGCUUAAGAAAAAAAGUAAGAAAAAAAGCGAAGGACAGACAGAUCUGUUAUACCUGACCAAUUAAUUCAGUUUGCUAUUGUUUAUAGCUGUCAAAUACCAAUUUGCUCUCUGUGAGAAUAUUUUGGGAACCUUCUACAAUUGCCCUAGAAUAAACCCCAUUUCCUGGUUAUGAGUAAAAGCAUUUUCUGUAGUUUUAAAAUAUCUAAAUCCUGCUUUUUUUUUUUUUAAUAUUUUUUAUUUUUAAUGAGGGAACUACAAUUGGUUCCUCAAAAGGACUGUUGGCCUUGGCUGGUGCAUGUGGCAGCAUACACGUGGUAUGAAAGUACAGAUUCAGUCUAAAUCUGCAGGACACCUGGAACCCAGUUGAGCUUUGCUCAGUGCACUUGCUAGAAUUCAUGAUUUAUAGAGAUAAUCCUCAGACAUUUCAAGCUGGGCUGAAGACAGACAAAUUUCCAGCCCAUGCCAUCAAUUCCAUUCAUCUGGAACAGGUGCCAAGCUUACGAAAUCCUCCUGCAAUGUGGUAGACACCACAGUAUGCUUCAUUAACAACCAACCAAGCAACUUGCCAUCUCCAGCUCACAGGCAUUGAAAACAAUCUGGAGAUCAGAGACCCAAACCUGUGAAGCAAAGAAGGAAAAGUUUCAAAGGCAGCUGGACUCCCACAGGAGGGGAUUUAGGCAGACAAUGCUGGACUCUGUGAAACCUGCUCCCAGACCCUGUUAUCCUCACUCAUUUGAGUGAACACAGCUGUCUGUCUUUUCUAAUUCAGGGGUACAAUGCUGUGGCUAGAAGUGUUAGACGUGGCCAUGUCAGUCUUGUUAAAAACAACAUACAAUAAAUUGCCAAAUGCCAUUUACCCUGGAUAACCUUCUUAGCUGAAACUGUCCAUAUCUACUGGAGUUGCUUGUGCGUCAGUCGACUUUGAUGUAUCCUUUUGCUCUUUCAGCCCAGAUGUUGUCAUAGAUUUUCUGACGAUGACUGCAAAAAGGCUUUGAAAUGCACUCUGGCAAGAAACACUUUCCCAUCCUGUCUCAGAUAGGGUCUGCUUUCUUUUCACCUCACAUUUUUUAUUACUAAGGCCGUUCAGAUGAAUAAAGGCUCUUUGUUCAUUUAGCAAUUUCUCUGCUUGCUGAUGGUGUUUUAUUUUUCAAAGCAUAAGUUGAAAUGACAGCAGCAGCAGCUCAAUAGAUGAAGCAGGUCUCAAACAUCAUAGUGACAGACUACUAGUGUCUGGACACUGUUGCUGUCAGCAGUAUGAACAGUGCAGGAGUCUUACAAGAAAGACUCUUCAGGCACAGAAAAAAAGUUCAAAAGUUAUAUGUUAGGACGUAUGAGAAAGUUCCCAAUUUCUCUCUUGCAUACUAUGGAAAGACACUCGCUAAGGAAAGCUGGGCACAUUACUGUACAAGGAACAGAUGUUCAUUUAUGGUGCAUAGUAUAACCCCUUGAUGCCCUGUUCUGAUGUUCUGGUCUGGAAGCAACCUACCCAUUUGGUAAUGGACGCAAAAAGUAGUUUUUGUUCUUUUUUAAUGUUUUGAUACAUUAGGGUGGGAUAACAAUGCUUCUGAAUAUAUAUUGACAUACAUUGAGGAACUUGCUGUUUAAACAGCAUUUCUCCCAUUAUACAUGAUAGAUUUGGAGCUUGUACUCCACUUUACAUUUCAAAGUGCCAUUGAACUGAACCGGGCAUGCUAUGCCCUCAAGUCCCAGGUUUUCUGUGCUUGUUUGCAGUGAGAGGUGGGGCUGCUCAUGUCACUCAGCUGCACGCCCAGCACGGGAGCUUCUUUAAAGCCAGAUGUGACUUUUGGUUAGAAAUCAGUGCUUUUUGUCCACCCAAUUUAUCAUGUUGUGUUGGCAGCCCUGCAGAGAGCUUUCUCCCACUGCUAGGAUCACUCAGCUCCUUCACCAGACACAUCAGCUAGUGCUGCCAAACAGCCCUCACAGCUUUAUGAGGGAACCUCGAGAGGAUUAAGCCCGGUCCCACCACGGGCUGGCCGCAGCCCUGUCCACCCCUGAGCCGUCUGUCAGGGGCAGGGGCACCCCUAAAGCCCAGGAACCCUCCCACGGGACGAAGCAGGACGGCAGGACCCCGCUCCCCCAGCAUAACGAGGCGCCCUGAGCGUACAGCCACAACA